GUAUAUGGCCAUACCACCCUGAAUGUGCCCAAUCUCAUCUGAUCUUGGAAUCUAAGCAGGGCUGGGCCUUGGAUGGAGAGAAAGGCACAGAGCAUGACCAGGCUUGUUAGGGAAAAUGUGUCUU
ensembl:rRNA 5S_rRNA 5S ribosomal RNA